GGAGUUGUGGCUCAGUGGUAGAGCACUCGCCUAGCAUGUGCAAGACAUCAGAUUCAAUCCUUAGCACCA
rnacentral:tRNA from 1 species